rnacentral:rRNA from 1 species
AUGCCGGAGGGUGUGAAUGAUACGGCUAUUGUACUAAUCCCGAAGGUUCCGUUUCCUAAGGAGCUCAAGGAUUUUUGUCCAAUAAGUUUGUGUAACGUGAUCUACAAGAUUGUGUCUAAGUGUUUGGUGAACCGGCUACGGCCUCUGUUGACGGAACUAAUUUCUGAAAACCAAAGUGCCUUUAUACCGGGCCGUCUUAUCUCCAAUAACUCGAUCAUAGCUUUUGAGUGUAUCAAUCAUAUUCAGUAUCUGAAGAAUAAUAACCCGGCUGCGUGUGCAUACAAGUUGGACUUGUCUAAGGCGUAUGACCGGGUUGAUUGGGACUUCCUAGAGAAGGCCUUGCACAGAUGGGGUUUUUCUGCAACAUGGAUCAACUGGAUGAUGGCUUGCGUAAAAUCAGUCACAUAUUCUGUGAAAUUCAAUGGGAAGUUGCUUAAGGUUUUCUCCCCAUCAAGGGGGCUGCGACAAGGUGAUCCGUUGUCCCAUUUCUUUUUCUUUUUGUUGCUGACGCCUUGUCUUCUCUGA